rnacentral:rRNA from 1 species
GACGAACGCUGGCGGCGUGCCUAAUACAUGCAAGUAGAACGCACAGUUUAUACCGUAGCUUGCUACACCAUAAACUGUGAGUUGCGAACGGGUGAGUAACGCGUAGGUAACCUGCCUGGUAGCGGGGGAUAACUAUUGGAAACGAUAGCUAAUACCGCAUAAUAUUAAUUAUUGCAUGAUAAUUGAUUGAAAGAUGCAAUUGCAUCACUACCAGAUGGACCUGCGUUGUAUUAGCUAGUAGGUGAGGUAACGGCUCACCUAGGCGACGAUACAUAGCCGACCUGGGGAGGUGAUCGGCCACACUGGGAAUGAGGCACGGCCCAAGCUCCUACGGGGAGCAGCAGUAAGGGAUCUUCGGCAAUGGACGGAAGUCUGACCGGACAAAGGCGCGUGGGGGAAGGAGGGUUUCGGAUCGGAAAGCUCUGGUGUUAGAGAAGAACGGGUGGGGUAGUGAAAAGUGCACGCUGUGACGGUAUCUUACCAGAAAGGGACGGCUAACUACGUG